CAACCCUCGAGCCCCCCGUGGCUUGGUGUUGGGGACCGGCGACCUCGCCCGCACCUCCUCGGUGCAGGCGCCCGCCGCCCCCGAAAUGAAUCGGCGGUCUCGUCGCGGCCUCCUCUGCGUAGUAGCACAACCUCGCAACAGGAGCGCGACGCGGCCACUGCCGUAAAACGCCCCAACUUUUUCUCAG
rnacentral:misc_RNA from 1 species